ACUUAGCGGGCGGAAAAUUUAAGGCGGGGAAGGGGCUCCCUUAGCACCGUUAAAAAUGCAUAAGUAUUGCAACAUGGUGGAUUACAGCGGGAGGAAAGGCAUCACCUCCUAAUAUAUCUGCCUCGUCUGGACGAAUUGGAGGCGUGUAAUGAUUUGAAACUCAUUCUGAAAUAUCUGUGGACUGUGCUGACCGUGCUGAGAUGAGUGGUUCGGCGAGGCGGACCUUGGAAACACCUACAUGGCCAUCACGACUGAAGUGGUGUUCGCUGACAGGUAAAAUGCAGGUGCAACCUUCACAGACUGACAGAGAUUGAGUGAUAACAGACACUGGAGACCCUCCAGGCGAUGGCUGGUGACCGCCUGCCACCAUCCACAGGCUGUCACACAAGGAGCCCUGGGAGUAACCUUGCUGGAAGCCCCGCGGGCCGCAGUGUGUGGCUGGCGUUAUACAGCCCCCAGCCAUCGCCUGGAGGGCAUCCAGUGUCUGUUAUCACUCACCUUAGGUGGUCUGUGAAGGUCCAGUCAUCACUGGCGCACGUGUAUCUUACCUGUGAUCAACACCGGCAGCCACAGACUCCUGCCCAAGGAACGAACACAGUGAUUGUGAUGACAUUGACAACAACGAGCAAGUCCUCCUAGACCUAGAGUGACCUCAAGCUGGGCCAAACAUGAUGUGGAAGAAGAAAUCAGUUGUCUCCAUCAGUCGGGUUUGUGCCAUGGCAGCUUUCUCCAGCUGUCCGGCAGAGGUCCAGUCCAUGCCAUGGAGAAAUUCAGCCCCCAACAAUGAGAUGGCAUGCCAGAGAUGGAUCCGCAACUUCUCCCCCAAUCAAUCAAUCAUUGCAAUGCCCUUUCUCUUUUCUCUCCUUCUGUACCACCAUGCUUACACAUAACUGAUCCUAGGUACUUAAACUCGUUAACCUCCUCCAUUUCUUCACCAUUCAAAAUUAUUUGGCAUUCUUUUUCACAUUCAAUGCCCACUCUAUAUGGGCAUACAAACUCUACAACCUCCCUUCUACUCCGCUCACAAACCAUCACUUUACUUCUGUUGACAUUUACUUUCAACUUUCUCCUUUUACAUACACUAUCAAAAACAUUGACCAAAUUUUGUAAGUCACUUUCAUUUUCUGCAAUGAGCACCGUGUCAUCAGCAAAUAAGAUUGAAUUCAUCACCCACUUCCUUCCCUCCCUCAGCAUACAUUUUUACUUCAAUUUCCCCAACUUUGCCCUUCAUUUCUCAUAACACCAUCCAUAUAAAUAUUGAACAACCACGAUGACAUGACACACCCCUGCCUUAGCCCACUUUCAUCUCAAAAUGUUCACUUGUUUCUCCAGUAAUUUUGACACAUGCAGAUGCAUCCUCAUAGAAAGACUUUAUUGCAUAAAGCAGUUUUCCUCCCACACCAUAUAUCUUUAAGACGUCCCACAAUGCCAGCCAAUCGACUCUGUCAUAAACUUUCUUUAGAAUAACUAGAUCCAUGAAGGCAGCAUAGUAUUUUUUUCCUUUUGCUAAUAUUUUUUCUAAUAAAACACCAUCCUGAAGGAAAAUAUCUGAUCCACACAUCCUCUUCCCUUCCUGAAGUCUCCUUGCUCUUCACUGAUUUUCUCUUCUGUAAGUCUUUGCACAAUCUCAAUUAGGACUUUUACAUAUACCUUUCCGGGUAGCCUACACUCAGCAGACUUAUACCCCUACAACUCCCACCUCCCCUCUCCUGCC